AGUGAACGCUGGCGGUAGGCCUAACACAUGCAAGUCGAACGGCAGCACAGUAAGAGCUUGCUCUUACGGGUGGCGAGUGGCGGACGGGUGAGGAAUACAUCGGAAUCUACUUUUUCGUGGGGGAUAACGUAGGGAAACUUACGCUAAUACCGCAUACGACCUACGGGUGAAAGCAGGGGAUCUUCGGACCUUGCGCGAUUGAAUGAGCCGAUGUCGGAUUAGCUAGUUGGCGGGGUAAAGGCCCACCAAGGCGACGAUCCGUAGCUGGUCUGAGAGGAUGAUCAGCCACACUGGAACUGAGGCACGGUCCAGACUCCUACGGGAGGCAGCAGUGGGGAAUAUUGGACAAUGGGCGCAAGCCUGAUCCAGCCAUACCGCGUGGGUGAAGAAGGCCUUCGGGUUGUAAAGCCCUUUUGUUGGGAAAGAAAAGCAGCGGGUUAAUACCCCGCUGUUCUGACGGUACCCAAAGAAUAAGCACCGGCUAACUUCGUG
rnacentral:rRNA from 1 species